GAGGAAUUUGCACUCUCCAGUUCACUUCCUCCCUCCCAGUUGUUCCAUUCAGCUGUUUGCCUGGCCGCUGUCUAAGCAAAACUGUUGCCUCAUCAGAGAAGGGGGAGGGCCAUUUGUUUUCAAAGAGACUGGUUUCAUUUUUUUUUCCCCAAACCAGAUCAUUUCUCAGAUGCUAUGUAGAGUACGACUACAUAAGCAAUUUGGUCAGCACAACCGAAGGUGCGGUGCACUCCUGUAGAGGCCGGGAAUGUUUCUGCUCUGCUCCAGUGACCAGAAGAAAGCCACAUUAUAAUUAUGGCACACGAAUUGCUGUACGGCAGCAUCUGUACGUCUCUUGAAGCAACGUGACAGAGUGGCAUUCCCAAAGAUGGCAAGAUACUUUCAACAGCCUGAAUCAGUGCGAAGGUACAGCAGGGUCGUGGGGGAGCAAAGAUUUUCUUGAUCAAAUUUUGAAGCUACUCAGUAAAACUUAUGCAUGAAAAAAUAGUAGGAGGGAGAGUAUUCACUCAUACUUCAGUUCCACGAGCAAAGAAGGUCACCUCACUCGAGUGGCUCUUCCCAUUUCACUAUACAGAGAAGAUGACCAUCACCCCUCACAGGGCAGGAUCAAGAGCUAAGCUCGAUCCAACCGUUCUGCGCAAGACAAGCGAUGAAGAGCCCCUGGGGCAGCAGUGGAAGUGCUUCUCUAGCCUGCUCUUUGACAUCUAGCCUUCUUGCUGAUAAGAGUCAAUCACGCACAAAGCAGAGGGUAAAAAAGAACACCGCCUAACAACUCGCUGUUCGCAUACUUACCACCGCAGAAAAACACUGCGAAAGCCAGAAAAAAUCUCCAACUCCUCCUUCGCUCUAUGAAGAGCUGACCUUCCCUUCGGGUAGGCCUUACACAUCAUGUGCUAGAACUUGCACGCCUUGAAAGGCAGAACAGAUUCUCUUCUGAGUAGUUACUAAAUACUGUGGCAGCAAAUGUCAUCGCCCCUUGUAACAUUUAAUCCUAGUAUACACCACUUCAGCUUGAAGUUUCACAUGAACACAGUAAUCAAGUGUCUGCAUUAACCUCCCACCCAGUUGUAAUUCAAUUCUAACAACCCAUUGUCCUUAAUUUUUGUUAAUUUCAAUAAAAACAAACCUAAAAGCUAACUUUAAAAACCCACGUCUUAGGUUAACAACAAUGCUUUGAAGGCUUUGACAAACUAUUUGUCCUGCAGCUUCAGGCUGCACAUACAGCUAACAAAAAUAAACAUGGGAGCAUUGCAGUCAAAACUAACCUGGCAAUAUUAAAAGAAGUGUUUAAAUACUCCAAUUUUAAAAAAAAAAAAAAAAAAGAAAAUCUUUUUAUUGUGCUAUGACCUUUGGAUCAAGCCC